rnacentral:rRNA from 1 species
UUGAUCCUGGCUCAGGAUGAACGCUAGCGGCAGGCCUAACACAUGCAAGUCGAGGGGUAAGGUUCAGCUUGCUGAAUACACGACCGGCGCACGGGUGAGUAACACGUUUGCAACCUUCCUCCAACUGGAGAAUAGCCCGAAGAAAUUCGGAUUAAUACUCCAUAAAGUCAAUUUAAGGCAUCUUUUAUUGAUUAAAGCUCCGGCGGUUAGAGAUGGGCAUGCGUGUCAUUAGCUAGUUGGUGAGGUAACGGCUCACCAAGGCCACGAUGACUAGGGGGUCUGAGAGGAUGAUCCCCCACACUGGUACUGAGACACGGACCAGACUCCUACGGGAGGCAGCAGUGAGGAAUAUUGGGCAAUGGACGCAAGUCUGACCCAGCCAUGCCGCGUGCAGGAUGACUGCCCUAUGGGUUGUAAACUGCUUUUGUUUGGGAAGAAACCCCCGAUCGUGAUCGGGGCUGACGGUACCAUACGAAUAAGCAUCGGCUAACUCCGUGCCAGCAGCCGCGGUAAUACGGAGGAUGCAAGCGUUAUCCGGAUUCAUUGGGUUUAAAGGGUGCGCAGGCGGAAUAUUAAGUCAGUGGUGAAAUCCUGCAGCUUAACUGUAGAACUGCCAUUGAUACUGAUAUUCUUGAAUAUAGUUG